GUGGAUAUAGCUGAAGUGGUAGAGUGCAUGCUUAGCAUGCACAAGGUCCUGGGUUCAAUCCCCAGUACCUCCU
rnacentral:tRNA from 1 species